AUUGAACGCUGGCGGCAGGCCUAACACAUGCAAGUCGAGCGGAUGAAGGGAGCUUGCUCCUGGAUUCAGCGGCGGACGGGUGAGUAAUGCCUAGGAAUCUGCCUGGUAGUGGGGGAUAACGUCCGGAAACGGGCGCUAAUACCGCAUACGUCCUGAGGGAGAAAGUGGGGGAUCUUCGGACCUCACGCUAUCAGAUGAGCCUAGGUCGGAUUAGCUAGUUGGUGGGGUAAAGGCCUACCAAGGCGACGAUCCGUAACUGGUCUGAAAGGAUGAUCAGUCACACUGGAACUGAGACACGGUCCAGACUCCUACGGGAGGCAGCAGUGGGGAAUAUUGGACAAUGGGCGAAAGCCUGAUCCAGCCAUGCCGCGUGUGUGAAGAAGGUCUUCGGAUUGUAAAGCACUUUAAGUUGGGAGGAAGGGCAGUAAGUUAAUACCUUGCUGUUCUGACGUUACCAACAGAAUAAGCACCGGCUAACUUCGUG
rnacentral:rRNA from 1 species